CUCCACCCACUGUGCCACCUAUCUAUGUCUAACAAGUUCUCCUUAAUAGGCUAAUCCUUCACCUGGAACAUGGUCAUCUACCUGAGAGCCAGUGUGACUUCAGAAAGGACCAAAGAACGCUGGAUAUGGUGCUUGCUGCCAGACAACUCCAGGAGAAACGCCAAGGGUAGAACAGAGAUGUAUCACUGCUGUUGGAGAAUUUGGAGUGUUAAAUAUAGAAGCCUCCACACUUUCGUGCAUGUCAAUCCUGUUUGUGUGUGCUUCAACUACUUGUUCCUGAAUACAGCAAUGUGUGUUUCGCCUCAGGGAUCUAAUUGAGGAUCACCUCUAAGGCAAUCACAUAAAGCAUCCACUCUGGUGCAAAGUUGUUUUCCACCAUAAGGCAGCCAGGUGGCACAAUGGACAGAAGACUAUGAGUGGAGUCAGGAAGAGCAGAGUUCAAAUCCAGC